GUCUAGAAGUGCCCAGGAAAAAGUAGACUAUGAUUGGGAAAAAGGCUGCAUACAACCCAUAGCUUGGAGAGAUGUUGACCAGUAGAGCAUAUGCUAAACCUUACACACACCAGCCCUGUGCUGAUUCCAGAAACAAUGUCACUAAGUAGCCAUUCCUUUAUCCUGUAUGCUGGUAACCAAGAUGUUAUGGGAAGCAAAGAGAGGGCAAUUCUCUUGGCCUUUUGUGUGGAACAGCUGAAAACAUUGAAAGCCACAGGCAUUUGCAGAAUACACUGGCCUGGCCACAACGUACUGAUUCCCAAUGUGCUCGAUCAUUUUGCUUUCUCUGGAGGCUGUGAUGAGUGAGCUCUGGACUGAAUGUUACCACCUUUUGAGAUCAAAAGAAGUAGGAUUAAGGGACCUGGAUUGUGUUUUGCGACAGUGAUAUUCCAAUGAACUGGACACAACUCCUUUGGCUUCCUUCCCUGAGGAUGACCAUGGCAGGCUUUUUAGUGGGCUGAUCAUACCUCCAGCUGGAUUAAAGGCCUGAACUCUGGCCAUCCUGCCGCAGACUAGAACAUGCCUCCUCCUCACACCAAGAGUUGAA